CAAGCCUGAUGCAGCCAUGCCGCGUGUAUGAAGAAGGCCUUCGGGUUGUAAAGUACUUUCAGCAGUGAGGAAGGUGGUGCAGUUAAUAGCUGUAUCAUUUGACGUUAGCUGCAGAAGAAGCACCGGCUAACUCCGUGCCAGCAGCCGCGGUAAUACGGAGGGUGCGAGCGUUAAUCGGAAUUACUGGGCGUAAAGCGCAUGCAGGUGGUUUGUUAAGUCAGAUGUGAAAGCCCGGGGCUCAACCUUGGAAUUGCAUUUGAAACUGGCAGACUAGAGUACUGUAGAGGGGGGUAGAAUUUCAGGUGUAGCGGUGAAAUGCGUAGAGAUCUGAAGGAAUACCGGUGGCGAAGGCGGCCCCCUGGACAGAUACUGACACUCAGAUGCGAAAGCGUGGGGAGCAAACAGGAUUAGAUACCCUGGUAGUCCACGCCGUAAACGAUGUCUACUUGGAGGUUGUGGCCUUGAGCCGUGGCUUUCGGAGCUAACGCGUUAAGUAGACCGCCUGGGGAGUACGGUCGCAAGAUUAAAACUCAAAUGAAUUGACGGGGGCCCGCACAAGCGGUGGAGCAUGUGGUUUAAUUCGAUGCAACGCGAAGAACCUUACCUACUCUUGACAUCCUCAGAAGCUAGUAGAGAUACGAGUGUGCCUUCGGGAACUGAGAGACAGGUGCUGCAUGGCUGUCGUCAGCUCG
rnacentral:rRNA from 1 species